rnacentral:rRNA from 1 species
UUCAUGGAGAGUUUGAUCCUGGCUCAGGACGAACGCUGGCGGCGUGCCUAAUACAUGCAAGUCGAGCGGACCAACAGGAGCUUGCUCCUGUUGGUUAGCGGCGGACGGGUGAGUAACACGUGGGCAACCUGCCUGUAAGACUGGGAUAACACCGGGAAACCGGUGCUAAUACCGGAUAAUCCUUUUUCUCUCAUGAGGAAAAGUUGAAA